rnacentral:rRNA from 1 species
GAAGAGGGAAAAGCUCAAAUUUAAAAUCUGGCAGUCUCUGGCUGUCCGAGUUGUAAUUUAGAGAAGUGUUACCCGUGCUGGACCGUGUAUAAGUCUCCUGGAAUGGAGCGUCAUAGAGGGUGAGAAUCCCGUCUUUGACACGGACUUCCCAGUGCAUUGUGGUGCGCUCUCGAAGAGUCGAGUUGUUUGGGAAUGCAGCUCUAAAUGGGUGGUAAAUUCCAUCUAAAGCUAAAUAUUGGCGAGAGACCGAUAGCGAACAAGUACCGUGAGGGAAAGAUGAAAAGAACUUUGGAAAGAGAGUUAAACAGUACGUGAAAUUGCUGAAAGGGAAACGCUUGAAGUCAGUCGCGUUGGCCAGGGAUCAACCUUACUUUUAGUGAGGCGUACUUCCUGGUUGACGGGUCAGCAUCAGUUUUUGACCGCUGGAGAAAGGCUUGGGGAAUGUGGCAUCUCCGGAUGUGUUAUAGCCCCUUGUCGUAUACGGCGGUUGGGACUGAGGAACUCAGCACGCCGCAAGGCCGGGUUUUUUUAAACCACGUUCGUGCUUAGGAUGCUGGCAUAAUGGCUUUAAGCGACCCGUCUUGAAACACGGACCAAGGAGUCUAACAUGCUUGCGAGUGUUUGGGUGGAAAACCCGAGCGCGUAAUGAAAGUGAAAGUUGGGAUCUCUGUCGUGGAGAGCACCGACGCCCGGACCUGAUGUUUACUGACGGAUCUGCGGUAGAGCACGUAUGUUGGGACCCGAAAGAUGGUGAACUAUGCCUGAAUAGGGUGAAGCCAGAGGAAACUCUGGUGGAGGCUCGUAGCGAUUCUGACGUGCAAAUCGAUCGUCGAA